GGUAGUGUAGUUAACACCUGCAUUAUUUGACGUUACCUACAGAAGAAGCACCGGCUAACUCCGUGCCAGCAGCCGCGGUAAUACGGGAGGGUGCGAGCGUUAAUCGGAAUUACUGGGCGUAAAGCGCAUGCAGGUGGUUUGUUAAGUCAGAUGUGAAAGACCCGGGGCGUCAACCUACGGAAUAGCAUUUAGUAAACUAGGCAGACUAGAGUACUGUAGAGGGGGUAGGAAUUUCAGGUGUAGCGGUGAAAUGCGUAGAGAUCUGAAGGAAUACCGGUGGCGAAGGCGGCCCCCUGGACAGAUACUGACACUCAGAUGCGAAAGCGUGGGGAGCAAACAGGAUUAGAUACCCUGGUAG
rnacentral:rRNA from 1 species